CCUACGGGAGGCAGCAGGAGGGAAUCUUCCACAAUGGGCGAAAGCCUGAGGGAGCAACGCCGCGGGGGUGAAGAAGGUCUUCGGAACGGAAAACCCGGGUGUUAGAGAAGAAAGUGCGGGAGAGUAACUGUUCACGUGUCGACGGUAUCUAACCAGAAAGCCACGGCUAACUACGUGCCAGCAGCCGCGGUCAUACGUAGGUGGCAAGCGUUCUCCGGCUUUAUUGGGCGUAAAGGGAACGCAGGCGGUCUUUUAAGUCUGAGGUGAAAGCCUUCGGCUUAACCGGAGUAGUGCAUUGGAAACUGGGAGACUUGAGUGCAGAAGAGGCGAGUGGAACUCCAUGUGUAGCGGUGAACUGCGUAGAUAUCUGGAAGAACACCAGUGGCGAACGCGGCUCUCUGGUCUGUAACUGACGCUGAGGUUCGAAAGCGUGGGUAGCAAACAGGAUUAGAUACCCUAGUAGUC
rnacentral:rRNA from 1 species